rnacentral:rRNA from 1 species
AACGAACGCUGGCGGCAUGCCUAACACAUGCAAGUCGAACGAUGCCUUCGGGCAUAGUGGCGCACGGGUGCGUAACGCGUGGGAAUCUGCCUUUCGGUUCGGAAUAACUCAGGGAAACUUGAGCUAAUACCGGAUAACGUCGCAAGACCAAAGAUUUAUCACCGAAGGAUGAGCCCGCGUAGGAUUAGCUAGUUGGGGAGGUAAAGGCUCACCAAGGCGACGAUCCUUAGCUGGUCUGAGAGGAUGAUCAGCCACACUGGGACUGAGACACGGCCCAGACUCCUACGGGAGGCAGCAGUGGGGAAUAUUGGACAAUGGGCGAAAGCCUGAUCCAGCAAUGCCGCGUGAGUGAUGAAGGCCUGAGGGUCGUAAAGCUCUUUUACCCGGGAAGAUAAUGACGGUACCGGGAGAAUAAGCCCCGGCUAACUCCGUG